rnacentral:rRNA from 1 species
GAGUUUGAUCAUGGCUCAGAUUGAACGCUGGCGGCAUGCCUUACACAUGCAAGUCGAACGGCAGCACGGGUGCUUGCACCUGGUGGCGAGUGGCGAACGGGUGAGUAAUACAUCGGAACAUGUCCUGUAGUGGGGGAUAGCCCGGCGAAAGCCGGAUUAAUACCGCAUACGAUCUACGGAUGAAAGCGGGGGACCUUCGGGCCUCGCGCUAUAGGGUUGGCCGAUGGCUGAUUAGCUAGUUGGUGGGGUAAAGGCCUACCAAGGCGACGAUCAGUAGCUGGUCUGAGAGGACGACCAGCCACACUGGGACUGAGACACGGCCCAGACUCCUACGGGAGGCAGCAGUGGGGAAUUUUGGACAAUGGGCGAAAGCCUGAUCCAGCAAUGCCGCGUGUGUGAAGAAGGCCUUCGGGUUGUAAAGCACUUUUGUCCGGAAAGAAAUCCUUGGCUCUAAUACAGUCGGGGGAUGACGGUACCGGAAGAAUAAGCACCGGCUAACUACGUGCCAGCAGCCGCGGUAAUACGUAGGGUGCGAGCGUUAAUCGGAAUUACUGGGCGUAAAGCGUGCGCAGGCGGUUUGCUAAGACCGAUGUGAAAUCCCCGGGCUCAACCUGGGAACUGCAUUGGUGACUUGGCAGGCUAGAGUAUGGCAGAGGGGGGUAGAAUUCCACGUGUAGCAGUGAAAUGCGUAGAGAUGUGGAGGAAUACCGAUGGCGAAGGCAGCCCCCUGGGCCAAUACUGACGCUCAUGCACGAAAGCGUGGGGAGCAAACAGGAUUAGAUACCCUGGUAGUCCACGCCCUAAACGAUGUCAACUAGUUGUUGGGGAUUCAUUUCCUUAGUAACGUAGCUAACGCGUGAAGUUGACCGCCUGGGGAGUACGGUCGCAAGAUUAAAACUCAAAGGAAUUGACGGGGACCCGCACAAGCGGUGGAUGAUGUGGAUUAAUUCGAUGCAACGCGAAAAACCUUACCUACCCUUGACAUGGUCGGAAUCCCGCUGAGAGGUGGGAGUGUUCGAAAGAGAACCGGCGCACAGGUGCUGCAUGGCUGUCGUCAGCUCGUGUCGUGAGAUGUUGGGUUAAGUCCCGCAACGAGCGCAACCCUUGUCCUUAGUUGCUACGCAAGAGCACUCUAAGGAGACUGCCGGUGACAAACCGGAGGAAGGUGGGGAUGACGUCAAGUCCUCAUGGCCCUUAUGGGUAGGGCUUCACACGUCAUACAAUGGUCGGAACAGAGGGUUGCCAACCCGCGAGGGGGAGCUAAUCCCAGAAAACCGAUCGUAGUCCGGAUUGCACUCUGCAACUCGAGUGCAUGAAGCUGGAAUCGCUAGUAAUCGCGGAUCAGCAUGCCGCGGUGAAUACGU